rnacentral:rRNA from 1 species
ACAUGCAAGUCGAGCGAACGGACGAGAAGCUUGCUCCUCUGAUGUUAGCGGCGGACGGGUGAGUAACACGUGGAUAACCUACCUAUAAGACUGGGAUAACUUCGGGAAACCGGAGCUAAUACCGGAUAAUAUUUUGAACCGCAUGGUUCAAAAGUGAAAGACGGUCUUGCUGUCACUUAUAGAUGGAUCCGCGCUGCAUUAGCUAGUUGGUAAGGUAACGGCUUACCAAGGCAACGAUGCAUAGCCGACCUGAGAGGGUGAUCGGCCACACUGGAACUGAGACACGGUCCAGACUCCUACGGGAGGCAGCAGUAGGGAAUCUUCCGCAAUGGGCGAAAGCCUGACGGAGCAACGCCGCGUGAGUGAUGAAGGUCUUCGGAUCGUAAAACUCUGUUAUUAGGGAAGAACAUAUGUGUAAGUAACUGUGCACAUCUUGACGGUACCUAAUCAGAAAGCCACGGCUAACUACGUGCCAGCAGCCGCGGUAAUACGUAGGUGGCAAGCGUUAUCCGGAAUUAUUGGGCGUAAAGCGCGCGUAGGCGGUUUUUUAAGUCUGAUGUGAAAGCCCACGGCUCAACCGUGGAGGGUCAUUGGAAACUGGAAAACUUGAGUGCAGAAGGGGAAAGUGGAAUUCCAUGUGUAGCGGUGAAAUGCGCAGAGAUAUGGAGGAACACCAGUGGCGAAGGCGACUUUCUGGUCUGUAACUGACGCUGAUGU